rnacentral:pre_miRNA from 1 species
AAAGAGGUGCAGUUUUGGCGGGAAGUAUUAGGAUAAAAAGAGGGCGAGGAGCGCUAACACGGCUCGAGGACUCCAUCGCCUGGACUGGAUCAGGAG